rnacentral:rRNA from 1 species
UACGGGGGGGGCGAGCGUUGUUCGGAAUUACUGGGCGUAAAGGGUUUGUAGGUGGCCUGCUAAGUCAGACGUGAAAUCCCUCAGCUUAACCGGGGAACUGCGUCUGAUACUGGAUGGCUUGAGUUUGGGAGAGGGAUGCGGAAUUCCAGGUGUAGCGGUGAAAUGCGUAGAUAUCUGGAGGAACACCGGUGGCGAAGGCGGCAUCCUGGACCAACACUGACGCUGAGGAGCGAAAGCCAGGGGAGCAAACGGG